rnacentral:hammerhead_ribozyme from 1 species
AUCCAGUUUACGAGUUCCAAAUAGGACGAAACGCGCGUCUUGGAU